CGGGACGGGUGAGUAAUGUCUGGGAAACUGCCCGAUGGAGGGGGAUAACUACUGGAAACGGUAGCUAAUACCGCAUAAUGUCUGCGGACCAAAGCGGGGGACCUCCGGGCCUCGCGCCAUCAGAUGAACCCAUAUGGGAUUAGCUAGUAGGUAAGGUAACGGCUUACCUAGGCGACGAUCCCUAGCUGGUCUGAGAGGAUGAUCAGCCACACUGGGACUGAGACACGGCCCAG
rnacentral:rRNA from 1 species